rnacentral:rRNA from 1 species
AGAGUUUGAUCCUGGCUCAGGAUGAACGCUGGCGGCGUGCCUAACACAUGCAAGUCGAACGAUGAAACCGCCCUCGGGCGGACAUGAAGUGGCGAACGGGUGAGUAACACGUGACCAACCUGCCCCCCUCUCCGGGACAACCUUGGGAAACCGAGGCUAAUACCGGAUACUCCCUCCCCUGCUCCUGCAGGGGUCGGGAAAGCCCAGGCGGAGGGGGAUGGGGUCGCGGCCCAUUAGGUAGUAGGCGGGGUAACGGCCCACCUAGCCCGCGAUGGGUAGCCGGGUUGAGAGACCGACCGGCCACAUUGGGACUGAGAUACGGCCCAGACUCCUACGGGAGGCAGCAGUGGGGAAUUUUGCGCAAUGGGGGAAACCCUGACGCAGCAACGCCGCGUGCGGGACGACGGCCUUCGGGUUGUAAACCGCUUUCAGCAGGGAAGAAAUUCGACGGUACCUGCAGAAGAAGCUCCGGCUAACUACGUGCCAGCAGCCGCGGUAAUACGUAGGGAGCGAGCGUUAUCCGGAUUCAUUGGGCGUAAAGAGCGCGUAGGCGGCCUCUCAAGCGGGAUCUCUAAUCCGAGGGCUCAACCCCCGGCCGGAUCCCGAACUGGGAGGCUCGAGUUCGGUAGAGGCAGGCGGAAUUCCCGGUGUAGCGGUGGAAUGCGCAGAUAUCGGGAAGAACACCGAUGGCGAAGGCAGCCUGCUGGGCCGCAACUGACGCUGAGGCGCGAAAGCUAGGGGAGCGAACAGGAUUAGAUACCCUGGUAGUCCUAGCCGUAAACGAUGGAUACUAGGUGUGGGGGGCUCCGCCCUCCGUGCCGCAGCCAACGCAUUAAGUAUCCCGCCUGGGGAGUACGGCCGCAAGGCUAAAACUCAAAGGAAUUGACGGGGGCCCGCACAAGCAGCGGAGCAUGUGGCUUAAUUCGAAGCAACGCGAA